GAGGGUAAAACAGACUUUUAUGAGAAGUAUGUAUGCCUAGCUUCUUGGCUGAGAUGGACAAUCAAAUAGAUUCUAUUUAUUCCAGAGCUUAUAUGUGCUCUUGCUUCCACAAACUUCUGGGUGUAGCAAACAUGAUUUUAAGAAGGAACUCAGAUUUAUGAUAUAGAUUUGACAUUGAGGUUUAAUUGGUGAUCUGGGAUAUUAUAGAGUAAUUUUCGGACUUUAAUCCUUUUACACUGCUCUAUAUAAGCUUGUUUUAAUAAAUCAGUUGCUGGCCUUUUUUAUUUUAUAACUUUAGGAUUUAGACUUCAUUUGGCAGCAAAUCAAUAAGAAUUCAUUUCAUAUGUAAUUGAACCCUCAUAU
rnacentral:misc_RNA from 1 species